GUACCCGGCCGGAUAAGUCUCUUGGAAAUCUGGCAGCUUAACUGUCAGGCUUUCAGGAGAUACUGUCUGGCUCGAGGCCGGGAGAGGUGAGAGGUACUUCAGGGGUAGGGGUGAAAUCUUGUAAUCCUUGAAGGACCACCAGUGGCGAAGGCGUCUCACCAGAACGGACCUGACGGCAAGGGACGAAAGCUAGGGGCACGAACCGGAUUAGAUACCCGGGUAGUCCUGCCGUAAACUGAUACUCGCUAGGUGUCGGCCACGGUGCGACCGUUGUCGGUGCCGUA
rnacentral:rRNA from 1 species